rnacentral:rRNA from 1 species
AGAGUUUGAUCCUGGCUCAGGAUGAACGCUAGCGGCAGGCCUAAUACAUGCAAGCCGAACGGUAAGAUUUUCAGCAAUGGAAAUCCCAGAGUGGCGUAAGGGUGCGUAACACGUAUGCAAUCUGCCCGCAACAGGAGGAUAGCUCCCCGAAAGGGGAAUUAACCCUCCAUGAUAUUACGGGAUGGCAUCAUUUUGUAAUUAAAUCUGAGGAGGUUGCGGAUGAGCAUGCGUCUGAUUAGCUGGUUGGCAGUGUAACGGACUACCAAGGCGACGAUCAGUAGGGGAACUGAGAGGUUGAUCCCCCACACUGGCACUGAGAUACGGGCCAGACUCCUACGGGAGGCAGCAGUAGGGAAUAUUGGACAAUGGGUGAGAGCCUGAUCCAGCCAUGCCGCGUGCAGGAAGAAGGCCUUCUGGGUUGUAAACUGCUUUUGCCGGGGGAUAAAAGACCCCUGCGGGGGAAAUUGAAGGUACCCGGUGAAUAAGCCACGGCUAACUACGUGCCAGCAGCCGCGGUAAUACGUAGGUGGCAAGCGUUGUCCGGAUUUAUUGGGUUUAAAGGGUGCGUAGGCGGUUCUUUAAGUCAGUGGUGAAAUACAGCCGCUUAACGGCUGAGGUGCCAUUGAUACUGGGGAACUUGAGUACAGACGAGGUAGGCGGAAUUGACGGUGUAGCAGUGAAAUGCAUAGAUAUCGUCAAGAACACCGAUAGCGAAGGCAGCUUACUAGACUGUAACUGACGCUGAUGCACGAAAGUGUGGGGAUCAAACAGGAUUAGAUACCCUAGUAGUCC